rnacentral:rRNA from 1 species
ACGCACGCUGGCGGCGUGCUUCACCCCUGCAAGUCGCACGAAGAGCGCUGGAAGCUUGCUUCUAUCAAUCUUAGUGGCGAACGGGUGAGUAACGCGUAAUCAACCUGCCCUUCAGAGGGGGACAACAGUUGGAAACGACUGCUAUACCGCAUACGAUCUAAUCUCGGCAUCGAGGAUAGAUGAAAGGUGGCCUCUACAUGUAAGCUAUCACUGAAGGAGGGGAUUGCGUCUGAUUAGCUAGUUGGAGGGGUAACGGCCCACCAAGGCGAUGAUCAGUAGCCGGUCUGAGAGGAUGAACGGCCACAUUGGGACUGAGACACGGCCCAGACUCCUACGGGAGGCAGCAGUGGGGAAUCUGCCGCAAUGGACGAAAGUCUGACGGAGCAACGCCGCGUGAGCGAUGACGGCCUUCGGGUUGUAAAGCUCUGUUAAUCGGGACGAAAGGCCUUCUUGCGAAUAGUGAGAAGGAUUGACGGUACCGGAAUAGAAAGCCACGGCUAACUACGUG